CCAGCGGACAGCUCAGCAUUCUCCACUCAUUUUUGCCAUGAAACCUGGGGCUGAGAGCAUCUAGCAGUUACAAUGGUUUCAGCAUCCAGUCUUUAAGAAGGAGGGGCUCCCCAACCCAAGAAAGGAGCCAGAACAAAGAGAAGGUAAAGAACCAUGUUUGGAGCCAUAAAAGCCUCAUUAGGAUCUCAAGAAUAACUCACAGAAUUGAACACAAAUUCACAAAAGUCAGUGAAUUCAUUGGUCUCCACCCUGAGGGUCUACGGCCUGGGAAGGGGGGUGCGUGGGUGUGAGCCAGGGCGGGUGCCUCUCCUAUUUGAUCUCUAUCUUAAAUCCACUUCAAAACGCUGCGGCUCAGCCGAAUUGGAGGUUGGCCCCUUCCUGUAAUUAUUUGGUGUCUAGUAAAGUUUUUAUGAGUGUCUGUGCAAAUAAAUGCAUCUGAUGAUG